rnacentral:rRNA from 1 species
UACAGAGGGGGCCAGCGUUAUUCGGAAUUAUUGGGCGUAAAGGGCGCGUAGGCGGCUUUGCGUGUCUUUCGUGAAAUCCCUCGGCUCAACUGAGGACGUGCGGAAGAAACUGCAGGGCUGGAGUCCGGGAGAGGAGGGUGGAAUUCCCAGUGUAGCGGUGAAAUGCGUAGAUAUUGGGAGGAACACCGGUGGCGAAGGCGGCCCUCUGGACCGGUACUGACGCUGAUGCGCGAAAGCUAGGGGAGCGAACGGG